rnacentral:rRNA from 1 species
AUUGAACGCUGGCGGCGUGCUUAAGACAUGCAAGUCGAACGGAGUGUGUAGCAAUACUCACUAAGUGGCGAAUGGGUGAGUAACACGUAGGUGACCUGCCCUGAAGUGCGGAAUAACAGUCCGAAAGGAUUGCUAAUACCGCACGUGGUCCCGGCGUUAGAGAACCGGGUACGUAAGACAGUAAUGCGCUUCAGGAGGGGCCGU